AUAGCGGCGAUCGGUGGCAACAGUUGUUGUGAACGGAAAAAACAAAAAACGUAACGUCAAAAUUAGAUUUUUUUAAUUCAAACCAGGAGAGUUUGCACUCAAGUCGAGCCGUGUGUGUUUUGUGCAAGCGCAAAAUUUAGGCUUGCUACAAAAAACAAAGAAAAUUUACCAAAAUAGAAGAAGCAAGUGUUUGGAAAUACUUUAUUUAGAAGUGUGACUCUCGAACGCAUUUCAUUUGAAUAUCGGCGAAUAACUUGCAGCAAUUCUCAUCCGUUGUUCACCAAUUGAUCGAUCGGUGUUUUACGAUUUGUCGUUCCCAUCCGGCUUUGCAUCAAGUCAAACUGGUAACAAAAUCUUGAAGGCAGAUCUCAACAACCAUCAACCGUUUAUUUUCGAAGGCUUCAAAUUACCACUGAUUUACACCACAAUUC
rnacentral:sRNA from 1 species